UGUGUAGGCGGACCGUUAAGUGCUUUGUGAAAUCCCACGGCUUAACCGUGGAACUGCUUGGCAUACUGGCGGUCUUGAGCUGCCCAGGGGCAACUGGAACAAGCGGUGGAGCGGUGAAAUGCGUAGAUAUCGCUUGGAACGCCAACGGUGAAAACAGGUUGCUGGGGCAAGCUGACGCUGAGACACGAAAGCCAGGGGAGCAAACG
rnacentral:rRNA from 1 species